rnacentral:lncRNA from 1 species
CAUGAGUUGCCGCUAGCCGAGGCAAGCACGUGCAACGUCACCUAGGAGAGAGGGAGCAGCCGCCAAUCCCCGACCGGACUCAGUACAUUCUCGAGCUUUACCCCACCAUG